UACGUAGGUGGCUAGCGUUGUCCGGAUUUACUGGGCGUAAAGAGCGCGCAGGCGGUCGUUCAAGUCGAGUGUGAAAGCCCCCGGCUCAACUGGGGAGGGUCACUCGAUACUGAUCGACUCGAAGGCAGGAGAGGGAAGCGGAAUUCCCGGUGUAGUGGUGAAAUGCGUAGAUAUCGGGAGGAACACCAGUGGCGAAGGCGGCUUUCUGGCCUGCUCUUGACGCUGAGGCGCGAAAGCUAGGGGAGCAAACGGG
rnacentral:rRNA from 1 species